UACGUAGGGUGCAAGCGUUGUCCGGAAUUAUUGGGCGUAAAGAGCUCGUAGGCGGUCUGUCGCGUCUGCUGUGAAAACUCGGGGCUUAACCCCGGGCCUGCAGUGGGUACGGGCAGACUAGAGUGCGGUAGGGGAGACUGGAAUUCCUGGUGUAGCGGUGAAAUGCGCAGAUAUCAGGAGGAACGCCGGUGGCGAAGGCGGGUCUCUGGGCCGUAACUGACGCUGAGGAGCGAAAGCAUGGGGAGCGAACAGG
rnacentral:rRNA from 1 species